rnacentral:rRNA from 1 species
AUUGAACGCUGGCGGCAGGCUUAACACAUGCAAGUCGAACGAGUGGCGGAAGGGUGUGUAAUGCUUGGGAAUCUAGCUUAUGGAGGGGUAUCACUACGGAACACUGUCGCUAAUACCGCGUACCAUAGUAUGCGCCCAAGUGGGAUUAGGUAGUUGGUGAGGUAAAGGCUCACCAAGACCACGAUCUCUAGCUGGUCUGAGAGGAUGACCAGCCACACUGGGACUGAGAAACGGCCCAGAUUCCUACGGGAGGCAUCAGUGGGGAAUAUUGCGCAAUGGGGGCAACCUGACGCAGCCAUGCCGCGUGAAUGAAGAAGGCCUUCGGGUUGUAAAGUUCUUUCGGUAGCGAGGCGUUAACUACAGAAGAAGCACCGGCUAACUCCGUGCCAGCAGCCGCGGUAAUAC